rnacentral:lncRNA from 10 species
AGUUACGAAGUAGGCUGGGCCACAUAGAGGACUGGGUCCUGCUGGGGCAGGGUUCCAGGCUACUGGGGCUGGCACCGCUGCAUUUUUCCUUCCUAAGAGUCAUGUCAGUGUGUCUGUCAAGUCAGGCUUGACGUCUUACCCCAAAAAGCCUGCUGUACUAUUAUGAAAUUUAGAAAAAUGAGCCCAAGAGGGAGGGGCCCUGUCAAUAAUUAAUAAUAACAACUAUUAUUUCAUGUUUAUGGCACAUUAACCUUCCUACCAGGCACUGUGCUAAGUGGCUGACACGUGAACCCAUUUGAGCCCCGUAACAGCCCUAGUAAUAAGGUUCUAUAGCUUUGGAGCCAAAUAACACUAGAUACAAAUCACAGAAAUGCCACUUUCCAGCUGUGUGACAUCAGGGACAUUAUUUACAUUCAUUCAGUAAAUACUUUUGAGCACUUACUAUGUGCCAUAUUUCAGUGAACAGAACAAAGAUCCCUGCUCUCUUGUGAUGUUUACAUUCUACAAGGUAAAGCAAAGUGUAAACAUAAUAAAUAUAAUAAAUUAUAAAUACACAUAAAUAAACUGUGUUAGAAAGUGGUAAGGGGAAGAUACAGUAGAGCAGGGAGGAGACAAGGAGUGCUGAUGCAGCAUCAGUGCAGGGAAGAGGCAGGAUGAGUUGUUAAACAGUGGUGUCAAGGAAGGUCUUGCUGAGAAGGUGCUAUGCAUACAAAACUUUAAGGAGGUGAGGGAGUUAGCCAUGUAGGUAACUGGGGAAACCCUUAUUAAGCAGAAGGAACAGCCAAAGCAAACGCCCUAAGUGUGCUUGGUGGUUCCAAAGAGUAGCCAGGGCCGGGUGCAGUGGCUCACACCUGUAAUCCCAGCACUUUGGGAGGCCAAGGUGGGCGGAUCACAAGGUCAGGAGUUCAAGACCAUCCUGGCCAACAUGGUGAAACCCAUCUCUACUAAAAAUACAAAAAUUAGCUGGGCAUGGUAGCGCGCCCCUGUAGUCCCAGCUACUCGGGAGGCUGAGGCAGGAAAAUCGCUUGAAACCGGGAGGCGGAGGUUGCAGUGAGCCGAGAUCGCACCACUGCGCUCCACCCUAGUGAUAGAGCAAGACUUUGUCUCAAAAACAACAACAACAACAAACAAACAACAACAACAACAACAACAACAAAAACAAAGAGCAGCCAGGAGGCCAGUAUGGUUGAACAGUGAGCCAGGGAGAGAGUCCUCCCUACCCAUAAUGUUGCCCCAGUGAUUCUUUCUUAUACUUUGUUCUGUGUUUCCUUCCUUGCUCUUCUCAUAAUUUCCAAGUAUUU